UACGUAGGGUGCGAGCGUUGUCCGGAAUUAUUGGGCGUAAAGAGCUUGUAGGCGGUUUGUCGCGUCUGCCGUGAAAACUCGGGGCUCAACUCCGAGCUUGCAGUCGAUACGGGCAGGCUAGAGUUCGGCAGGGGAGACUGGAAUUCCUGGUGUAGCGGUGAAAUGCGCAGAUAUCAGGAGGAACACCGGUGGCGAAGGCGGGUCUCUGGGCCGAUACUGACACUGAGGAGCGAAAGCGUGGGGAGCGAACAGG
rnacentral:rRNA from 1 species